CUUCGGGGUCAGCGGCGGACGGGUGAGUAACGCGUGGGAACGUGCCUUCUGGUUCGGAAUAACCCUGGGAAACUAGGGCUAAUACCGGAUACGCCCUUAUGGGGAAAGGUUUACUGCCGGAAGAUCGGCCCGCGUCUGAUUAGCUAGUUGGUGGGGUAAUGGCCUACCAAGGCGACGAUCAGUAGCUGGUCUGAGAGGAUGAUCAGCCACACUGGGACUGAGACACGGCCCAGACUCCUACGGGAGGCAGCAGUGGGGAAUAUUGGACAAUGGGCGCAAGCCUGAUCCAGCCAUGCCGCGUGAGUGAUGAAGGCCUUAGGGUUGUAAAGCUCUUUUAUCCGGGACGAUAAUGACGGUACCGGAGGAAUAAGCCCCGGCUAACUUCGUGCCAGCAGCCGCGGUAAUACGAAGGGGGCUAGCGUUGCUCGGAAUCACUGGGCGUAAAGGGCGCGUAGGCGGCGUUUUAAGUCGGGGGUGAAAGCCUGUGGCUCAACCACAGAAUGGCCUUCGAUACUGGGACGCUUGAGUAUGGUAGAGGUUGGUGGAACUGCGAGUGUAGAGGUGAAAUUCGUAGAUAUUCGCAAGAACACCGGUGGCGAAGGCGGCCAACUGGACCAUUACUGACGCUGAGGCGCGAAAGCGUGGGGGGCAAACAGGAUUAGAUACCCUGGUAGUCCACGUCGUAAACGAUGAAU
rnacentral:rRNA from 1 species